CUUUAUAUGAAAUUUGCCUCUUGCCUUGUAAAAUUAGGGUCUGUAAGGUUAGGCUGCUGAUGAUAUGUCAAGCGUUGGCUGUGGAGAUGCUUGGCUGUUUUCACAGAAUUAGCCAUAAGUAUGCACUCCAAGACAUGGAAAUACGUCUCAAACUACCAUGACCGUCCUGUCACGAAGGCAAGGCUGUCACCACAUUGUUCACAAACGCUUGGCCCAGUGUAAUCUCAAGUGACAAAAGGGAAUAGGCUGUCACCACCCGCAUAGACAACGCUCCGUUGUGAUGGAACGAAUAGACUUUUAGGAGACAUCCUGAUACUCAAUAUAUGGUUUCCUUCCAAUAGCAUUGUCUGUUGCUUGCUCGUUUUAAACACAACUUAAUCGAUGCUGUGAAACUAAAUCCCAUUUUCU
rnacentral:lncRNA from 1 species